rnacentral:rRNA from 1 species
ACUCCGAAACGGCAUUGGAAACUGCCUUGCUUGAGGGUUGGAGGGGGGAUUGGAAUUCUCGGUGUAGCAGUGAAAUGCGUAGAUAUCGAGAGGAACACCAGUGGCGAAGGCGAGUCCCUGGACAACUCCUGACACUGAGGCACGAAAGCCAGGGGAGCAAACAGGAUUAGAUACCCUGGUAGUCCUGGCUGUAAACGGUGCACGUUUGGUGUGGGAGGAUUCGACCCCUUCUGCGCCGGAGCUAACGCGUUAAACGUGCCGCCUGGGGAGUACGGUCGCAAGAUUAAAACUCAAAGAAAUUGACGGGGGCCCGCACAAGCGGUGGAGUAUGUGGCUCAAUUCGAUGCAACGCGAAGAACCUUACCAGGCCUUGACAUGCAUCUCUAAGUUGGUGAAAGCCAGCGAGUCCCG